GAAGAGAAAGCAGGAAGGAGAGGGGAAGGAGGAAGAAGAAGGCAGAAAAAGGAGAAACAAGAAGAAAAGAAAAUCACCUAGAAAACUGCCUACAAUUGGUGGGAGGGGAAGCUCCAAUUUCCUCAUAAAAAUAGUUAAAUAGUGUAAUGUAAUACCAUGCAAUACCAUAAUUACUCAUUCCUAUGUCCAUGUCAAUAUUUAGGUACAUCUACUUUACAGUAAAUUUACAGUAUAGCUUUCAUCCUUCUAAGAAGAAAAUGUUUCAAAAUAAAGUUAUAUCCCCAAUACUUAGAAAAAUUUAAACAUAUUCAAAGAAAGUACUUUUUAUUUAUCUGCAUAAGUAUUUCCUACUGAAAAUAACUUAGGAGUUAAGAUUAAAAGUAGUAAGGUAAUAAAAACAUUAAAAGCAAUAAAAUUAUUGGAGAAACUUAUAACUGAAAUGUAUGCUUACAAUAAUUGUAUCACUCAGGGCAAACUCAUAAUAUGUCUUGGUGGAACUACUAUCACCAGGAAAACUAUGGCAAGAGAAUAUUGGCAUUUCUAUGACCAACUCAUCGUGAGAUACAUAUCCAAAGACGACGAUAGUAAAUUUUUCCUAAAUUUCUCAGAAUAAACUAUAAGUUUCUCAGUUUAGAAGCAACACACUUCAAUGUAAUAUAUAUAUAAAAAAGAAAAUUCAUUCCAUUAUAGACUUUUUUACAUUUUUUUAAAACAAAGUAAGGAAAAAUCAAAUCAUUUCUUACUUCAAACUGCUAUUUUCCCUUCAAGUAGUUAUUGAGACAAAGUUGCCUUC